CGUUUUACCCCGCUAGAACUCUUUGAAUAUUAAAUCAGAAGGCUCAAGUGACAGAAGAGAGCCCUAGAUUAAAAACCCUUUCUUUUCCAAUUCUUCAAGUCCUCUUUCUGUCACAUAAUCCAUGGCGGCCUCUCUACAUAUGAGCAAAAGAACCUGAAGCUCGAGCUCCUUCGACGAUUAUUACGCAGCAGUCCAGCUCCAAAGCUGAUUCUCUACCGAAUGCAACCAGCACCGCCACCACCUUGAUGAUGUCAUUUUGCCCAUUCUUCCUGCGAAGAAGAGAAAGGAGACUAGGGACCAGCCCAUUCUCCCUAACUCAACUCCUGCCACCUUCUCCGUCACCACCCGAAGAAGAGGGUGUGGGCACUUCCACCCGAUUUGUUCCCCGAGAAGCCAGUUUCGGAGCAGGAUUUGAAUCUUGAGUACAAGCCGAUCUCGGGGAAGAGUUAGAAGCUGGUGGAGAAACUGCUGACUGAUAGCGGUUCUGGAGUCAAUACUCGGAUAACAGUUCAGCUUUGACUAGCUCCAUAAUAUUAUGUAUGGUGAUGCUAAAGGAUGGUUUAAAAGAACCUGUUCUUUUCUGUAUCCAUAUGUUCUCGGAGUUGUGAACCCUGAUGCUAAAGCUGUACGAGGAUGGAACAAGUUCUUUGUCAUAUCUGUAAUAGAGAUAGUAGACCAACCAUAUAAAAUUGCUCUCAAUUAUCUCCAUGGAAACUUUUUAGUCGACAUAAUUAUUGUUUUGCCACUUCCUCAGGUAAGCUCUCACUUUGAAUUGUUUUGAUAUGCUUGAUGUGGAAUUGUUUAAAUUUGAUCAUUCUACAAAUGUCAAAUACAAGUCAAUGCAUCGAACUUUAUAACCCUAAUUAAGAUUACUUAUCUUUAUCCUGUUUUCAUUAGCUGUUCAUCAAAAUUUUUUUUUCUACAGACACAGCAUAUGAUGGGUUUUAGCUUUGAUUCAUUUGUACUGUUGUUGUUGUUGUUGUUGUUGUUAUGAGCUAGUUGGUUUAAAUUCUUGUUCAGAUCAUAAUGUUGUCGGUUGUUCCUUUGGGAUCGUUUCUAGCAAAUCAAACAAAGAAUCUUCUCCGCUUGGCAGACUAGAUUUCAAUAUUUUCCCAUGUUGUAUAGGGUUCUGCCCUUGCUUGCUGGUCAAUCUCCAAAUGGCUUCUUUGUAUUCGAGUCAGCUUGGACAAAUUUUUUUAUAAACACUCACUUUCUUGUUGGUUGGCCAUGUUAUUGGGUCAUACUGGUACCUCAUUGGCUUACAGAGGGUUAACCAAUGUCUUCGAGAUGCCUGCCAUAACUCUUAUCUGCAGUCAUGCGGGAGUUUAAUAGAUUGUUGCAAUGCUCAAUCUAUUCCAGAGUCAACUAAAUGGAGAGAAAAUGAGGAGGCUGCUGGUUGUUUUAAUCAGGAAGGAGAUUUCUCCUAUGGAGUAUAUACUCUAGUUGUCAAUCUCACUACAAGAGAUAGCAUGACUAAAUAUUUAUACUCACUGUUUUGGGGAUUCCAGGGGCUUCUUCCAUGGAUACUCAGUUCUCAUGAUUCUCAACCAUGCAUUCAGUGGCAUUUCUGUGUUUAUGGUAAUGAAGUAUGCUGACAAUAUUGUGAAGGUAAAAGUUGGCAUCAAACAUAAUAUGAAGAUAUUUAAAAGGCCACAGCAUGGAUCAUUGACCAUUUAUCUUUUGCAAUCAACAAAGACGAUUCUAAUCUAGGAUGCUCUCUGGUAAUCUAGAAUGUUUUACAUUUUAGGAUGGUGAUGAUAAAUUGUUGGUUUAAUUAAGUUGUUUUUAUACAGUAUUGUUGUUGGCAUAUUAAUUUACAUUUUGUAAUGUGAUAUUGCAGUUUGUUAUCUCUCUUUUCAUCUCAAUAAAUUGUAUAGAUGUAUAUAGAUUUUGAAAUGGUAUCACAAA